UGGUAGAUCAACUUCUCUACAGUUGCUGAAAGUCCUAGACAAGUGGACAAAGGUACUUGACAAAGGAGGUAUAUUACACUCGAUUUAUAUAUAUGGACUUCAUGAAAGCCGCAUAUGAGACAAUACUACACAAGAUUAAACACAAUAGUAUCAGUGAGCAAACUACAAACUGGACAAGAAGCAUCCUUAGUAAUAGACAACAGUGCGUAC
rnacentral:lncRNA from 1 species